rnacentral:rRNA from 1 species
UACAGGGGGUGCAACCGUUGCUCGGAAUCAUUGGGCGUAAAGGGUGCGUAGGCGGCGCGGUAAGUCGGGUGUGAAAUCUCGGAGCUUAACUCCGAAACUGCAUUCGAUACUGCCGUGCUUGAGGACUGGAGAGGAGACUGGAAUUUACGGUGUAGCGGUGAAAUGCGUAGAUAUCGUAAGGAAGACCAGUGGCGAAGGCGGGUCUCUGGACAGUUCCUGACGCUGAGGCACGAAGGUCAGGGGAGCAAACGGG